GUGCAGACUGCAGCAGACUGUACGGGCAGCAGAAAGGAUCAUCGGCGCCCCUGCCCUCCAUCCAGGAUCUGUACCUCUCAAGAACCAGGAAACGGGCAGGAAAAUCAUCACAGACCCCUCACACCCUGGACACAGACUUUUUGAUCUGCUGCCCUCUGGCAGACGGUACAGAAGCCUGCAGACCAGGACCACCCGACACAGGAACAGUUUCUUUCCCCUCGCCAUCUCCCUUCUAAACAGUUGAACUGUCACACUGCUCCCACUGCCAGACUGCAACUGCACCUUAUGUACAUUCUGCAGUAUUCAUUCCACCUCAUUUCAUUUCUGUCUUUUAUGUAUAUACGUUUAGAUUAGUUAUUUAUAGUUGGUUUACACAGCUUUGUGUAUGUAUGUGUAUGCAUGUGCAAUGUAUAUAUAGAUACGUGUGUGUGUGGGUGCGUGUGUGUGUGUGUGUGUGUGUGUGUGUGUGAGAUUUACAUUGCUGUGCUCGAGAGCCACCAUCUACCGGAACCAAAUUCCUUGUAUUUGUCUGCACAUAUACUUGGCCAAUAAACACGAUUCUGAUGAUUUGGCACAAAAACCAUGAUUUGGCAAAAUUACUAUGAUUUAGCAGAAAUACUAUGAUUGAGCAGAAGUACUAAGAUGUAGUAAAAGUACUUUGAUUUAAGAGAAAUCCAAUUAUGGAGGAGUAAUACUUUAAAAUGGGAGAAAUAUUGAUACACACACACAUUCACAGAGCCUAAAGGGAAGAGUAUUUGUGCCAUGGAGUGUUAAGAAGAAUGUGAGGUCCAUAUUAGAAAAGCUGGUAAAAAGUUUUCAGAAUUGUAAUAAAUGAUGAAUAUGAAUUAGUGGUCUGUGAUAGUGUAUUAAUUUGUAGGGCAAAAAACAUGUUGUCCAAGGUGGAGUUGAACCCAUGACUUUUGGGUUGCAGACCUGUGUCAUUACCAGCUGCGCCACUGGGAAAGACAGUGAGCACUUGGGAAACAGGGUGAUGAGCAGUCAGAAUUAGAUCGCGGUGUGAGGCAAAGAGCGCCGUUUUUUGGAGUUACAAAACGUCGUGUAACUCCAAAACUAGGUGGACUAGGAGCAUAAUUCUUGUACUGGGUGAAUCAGCGGACUUUGGUGUACUUUGACUGCGA
ensembl:lncRNA